UCACUACUUGCGUAGGCAGUUUCAUUAGAGUUCCCAGCUUGACCUGAUGGCAACUAAUGAUAAGGGUUGCGCUCGUUAUGGGACUUAACCCGACACCUCACGGCACGAGCUGACGACAACCAUGCAGCACCUUGUAAGACGUCCCGAAGGAAAUUCCGCUUUCACGAAACGUCGUCCUACAUUUAAGCCCAGGUAAGGUUCCUCGCGUAUCAUCGAAUUAAACCACAUGCUCCUCCGCUUGUGCGGGCCCCCGUCAAUUCCUUUGAGUUUCAACGUUGCCGCCGUACUCCCCAGGUGGAUCACUUAAUGCUUUCGCUCAGUCGCUGACAGUAUAUCGCCAACAACGAGUGAUCAUCGUUUACAGCGUGGACUAC
rnacentral:misc_RNA from 1 species